CGCGCCCCCGCCCGCGCCCCCGCGCCGCACUCGAUGAAGAAGACGCGGCCGUCCCGGCACACGCCGUAGGACCAGUGCUCAGCUUCCAGGUAACCAAUAAUGCAUUAUUCUCCUGUGAAAAGUCUGCUUUACUAUCAAGGAGACAGUAUGGCAUGAUGGAAGAGGAUGGACUUUGGGCCUGUUGAACCUGCAUGUAAAUCCAGGCACAGAGGAAAGAUUGUGAAAACUCUUGGAGAACACAGACAUCUGCAAACCAGGAGGAGAGGCCUUACCCUGCUGGCACCUGGAUCUUGGGCUUCUAGCCUCCAGACUGCGAGGGAAUACAUUUCUAUUAUUUAAGCUGCCCAGCCUGAGGUACUUUGUCACAGCAGCCUGAGACAGGCCUGCUUCCAAGGUCUGUUUCCAAGAUCAAGGUCACAAGAGCCUUAGCGUGUCCUUGUCGACAGCGGUGGCGCUGAUACUCUCCACCUCGUGCCUAACACAUGUAAGUGCCCGGUAAGUGGU